rnacentral:rRNA from 1 species
GACGAACGCUGGCGGCGUGCUUAACACAUGCAAGUCGAACGGAAAGGCCCUGCUUUUGUGGGGUGCUCGAGUGGCGAACGGGUGAGUAACACGUGAGUAACCUGCCCUUGACUUUGGGAUAACUUCAGGAAACUGGGGCUAAUACCGGAUAGGAGCUCCUGCUGCAUGGUGGGGGUUGGAAAGUUUCGGCGGUUGGGGAUGGACUCGCGGCUUAUCAGCUUGUUGGUGGGGUAGUGGCUUACCAAGGCUUUGACGGGUAGCCGGCCUGAGAGGGUGACCGGCCACAUUGGGCCUAAUAGCGGCCCCAGCCUCCUACGGGAGGCACAGGGGGGAAAUUUUGAAAACGGGGGGGAAGCCGUAUGCAGCACCGCCGGGGGGGGGAGGAGGCCCUGCGGUUUGAAACCCCCUUUCCCCUGUGACGAAGGUGGGGUGGGGUAAAUGGGUAAAGAGCCCCGGCCUAGCACGGUC